UUUUUUUUUUUUUUUUUUGAAGAAAAAGGGAAAAUCCCCACAGCAUCAAUGCUAGUCAAGCAUUUCAUCUUCUUUCCUGGCAGUAGUUGUCUCAAAUGGGCUUGUGACAGGUUUGAAGGCACCCCUCGCUUCUCCUCCCUGUAGCUCUACCAGCCUCCUGCCAGGGAGGUGCACCUUGUAAUCAAAACCACAUGGGUAGGGGGCUUCGUGGGGAACUCCACCCAGAAAGGGAAGAGGAGGCGAGCUCUUCCAGGCCCUCUCCUCCAAGCUGCCUCCAAACCGACAUCUUUCUCACCACGAGGGCCACCCAGCAUCCAGGGUGCCCAGGACUGAAAGUCCCUUGUCCUGGGAAACCCCUCAGUUCCAGGCAGACUGGGACACCCUGCUUGCCUCCAUCCUUUUACCCAAACAGGGGCCAGACCCCUUUCCUUCCAGCUCAAGGUCAGAGGAGAUAGGUUAGGAGUGUUCAAAGGGAGCAACCCUGAAGGAUUACUGGAAGACAAAAUGAAAUUACCCAAAUCACCCAGCGCAAAACAUAGUCCCUGAAGAGUCAUUUUCUGACUGAAAAAAUCGUGAAGGAACUAGGUUUGCAUGUAAAUUAUUAAUAUCACAGACGACCCAGCUAAACAGACGUUGACAUGGGAGGACCCUGAGGCCCAGAGCAGGGGAGAGACCCACAGCCAACCAGCGGCAGGGCCGGGACUUGAACUCAAGCCUCCUGACUCCAUAUUCAGUGUUUCCUCUGCCCUCCAGGCUGCCACUCUUACAGGCUCACGGAAGCUUUUCCUUUCCCUCCGCUCUGCCCUGCCCGUGGAACCUUACCUUUAAGAAGCUCUUUUGUAGAUAUCGAUCAACUUGCCCUCCAAGCCUCAUCUUCGUGCUUUUUCAUCCAGGAGAGGUCCGCACUGAUACAGAAACCAUGCUGCACAUGCCAAGGCACCCGCACAGGACGCGCGCCGCUCCUCUGCCCACUUCAGCCUCCAUUUCCAGCCAAGCUGCCCUUCGUGGGACCCUGCCUUUCCUAGUGCCCUUCUUCUCCUCUGCCUCCUUAGGCGUCUUCCCCUUUUCUCCCUCUCAUCACCCCUAACAGAUACAUCUUUCUUAGGUUUCAACAACUCAAAGCGUUUCCAGCCUCUUUUUUACUGGCAAGAACUUUCUUUCCACUCUCUGCCUUUAGCAACAGCUGUCAAGGAGGAAGAAUUUCGGGACAUGGGGCCAGAGCUCUUUGCACUUCUGGUCCUGAAACCUUGAGGAGGAAGCUGCCCUGGUGUUUCCUGCGUACUCUCCAUUCUUCCAGCCCCACCCACCCCAACAUCCCUGCCCCUCCAACCCACGGAUAUAUAUGUAUAGAUAUAUAAAACUUAGCUUCUGCUGCUGUGAAAACACUGAUCAAGAAGCGAUACAGUAUAGAAAGUCAUGGAGAAAUUGGACGGGAGCUUGGAAGAUAAACCCUUCCAUCCUCGUUCCCCCUCCCCCAACCCCAGCAAAUGCAAGAUUGUUGUUGCUCGCAUUCUUGUUGCUACAUCCUCAUCUGAUGGUCACCCAGUAUUAGUCAAGCAUCACCAAGACUAAAGCUUGUUUCUGGCAGGAGAUCGUGUAUUCACGCAGGAUGACUUAAUCCACCUGUUCUUUGACCUCUGGGUGAUUUCAGUUAAUGGUCUACAUAUAAUCUGACCAGACAAAAUAUGGGAAGAUAGGAGUUUCCUUGUUCAAGGUUCCAUCCUUAUAAAACUACAAUGAAAAUGGUCUUUCCUACGGGCUCCCAUUCUCCUUGACAGCAGGCCUAACAAAAUUUCAUUUCGAUGGUUCUAGUCUGUCCCCUCAGGCUAUCAAGGACAAGUUUCGGGAUCCUGACUCAGUCCUCUGUUGACAUGAGGCCAACUUAGAGAAGCCUGCUCCCCUUGGGUCUAUCCAAGCCCUGCUGGAAAACAUUGACAGAACAGUGCCAAAGACAGAACCCUGCUUCAUGCCAUUAGAGAUCUACUAUUCUCCAAGGUCAGGGAAAAUUUCAUGGAAGAAGGAGGACAUGAGCUGGACAAUGAAGGUUUGGGUAGCCUGACCAGAUGUGCCUGGAGGCAAGGGUGCAAGGUAGGGGGCGUGGGAGACAGCGAGGACUGAAUGACAAAAUAUGUGGAAAGAAUUACUCAAGAUAUGGUGGGUGUGGUUUUGGUGGUGAUGCUGCUGCCGAUGUUGGGGGGCACAGCAGAAGGAAGAAGGAGGUGGCUGGAGUAGGCACUGAGGAAUUGCUCUCGUGGCCUUCUCCUCUCUUAUUCUUCCCACGGUUUUCCAUUCCUCCUGAUGUGCUGCAGGCCCAGAGAGGUGGUUGGGAGGAGGCUCGGGUGUGGCAGCAGGCUACAGCUAUGGUUGCAGCUAUGACACCAUGGGCAGCGAGGCAUCUGCUGGCUUCUCAGUAGCUGACCUGGGCAUAUUAUGGAGAAGAGAGACCUGUGACUGUCACCUGAACGCCUUUCCAGUCCCUCAACUUCCUGGUGCUUCUUCCACUGUGGACCCAUUCGGACAGCCCUUCCUGUCUCUGUAGAGGCUGGGAUACACUGUAGGUUCCUAGGGCCCACUGGUCACACCAGCACUGACAUUUCAUGGUCAACUGGAUUCGCCCUAAAUAGGUAAAUGCUUUCUGAGUUCUAAGGUUGCCUCAGAAGGUUCAGAGACUAAUUAAUUGCCUCUGGUAGAAGAGAUGACCUUAUGAUCGUCAAACCCACAAAGCUAGGCAAGUCCCCCAGAGCAGAGAGGGCAACUCCUAGCCCAGGACUUGACUUGUGCUUUUUGGCUGCACCCAAGUCACGUGGAAGUUCUCAGGCCAGGAACUGAACCCGUGACACGGCAGCAACUGCAGCCACCGCAGGGACAAUGUUGGAUCCUUAACCAGCUGUGCUGCAACAGAAUACCCCCUUGAAUUUAAAAAAGAGAUGGGAGUUCUCAUCGUGGCUCAGUGGUUAACGAAUCCAACUAGGAACCAUGAGGUUGUGGGUUCGGUCCCUGGCCUUGCUCAGUGGGUUAAGGAUCCGCCAUUGCCGUGAGCUGUGGCGUAGGUUGCAGACACAGCUCAGAUCACACAUUGCUGUGGCUGUGGCUGUGGCAUUGACUGGCGGCUAUAGCUCCGAUUAGACCCCUAGACUGUGAACCGCUAUAUGCGGAGGGUAUGGCCCUAGAAAAGACAAAAACAUAAAAUUAAAAAAAAAAAAAAGAAGAGAUGGCAGGGGUUCCGUCUGUGUGUGACAGUCAGAUGAGGGUGUCACUUCCGGAUAAGGCCGCCCAAAUGUUAUUUCAAUGUGCAACUUAUUUAUAUUUCUUUUUGUGGGGUCACAAUCCCCACCCACGGGCAGCCUACCCGAGGCAGAAUUGUUUUCCAGGCUUCUCAUCAAAGUGAACGCUGGGGAGUUCCUGCUGUGGUGCAACGGGAUAGGUGGCAUCUCUGAAGCGCUAGGAUGCAGGUUCGAUCCGUGGCCUGGCCUGGCGCAGAGGGUUAAAGGUUUUGGUGUUGCCGCAGCUGCGGUGUAGGUCACAACUGCAGCUUGGAUAUGUUCCCUGGCCCAGGAACUCCAUACGCAGUGGGGAGGCCAAAGAAAGGAAAAAAUGAACCCUGGCAAGAGUAGACUUGUGUUUGCCUCAGACAAGAAGGCAGAUUAGUAUCAGCUCAGGUGGAUUUUCUCAGUAAUCUUGCUUCACGGUUCACGGAUUAAUUGUUUCUCUUUAUUUCGGAUACUAGAUACAAUUAUUUGUCUUGGAGUUCAUUUCCAAGCUUAUUUUAAUUUUUCUACAGUUCCACAGAAAAAUCAAGUUGUUCUGCAGAGCAUUUGGGGGACAGAGAAUGGGCUGGGGUCUUCCCCCUCUAUUCUUUCUUACCCUGGGGGGCUCGCUCUCUCGAACCUGGACAGAGAUCUUAGUUUCUUCUGCCUCUGGGUCUUUUCCAACUGUUCAGAACAGAGCUCCCACCUAGCGAGUCAGCCUGAGGAAGUGUUGGGUGUCUCUCUGGGCUAGGAGAAUAACAAUAACAUUUGUACAGCAUUUACCAAUCUGCAAAGCUGCCGAAUUUUAUAUUUCCUUGUACUUAAUGUCACACUUUUUUCUACCCAAUCCUCAAAACCUUGGGUGAUGGGUGAUGCCCACACCUUGUGCAGGGGUAUUGGUGCCACCAUGGCUGUGUUUUGGGGAGAUGAGGACAUAGGGUUCAGUUCUUCCCUCCUGAUUUCAGGGAGAGUUGUGGGCAGAGCCAGAGCCUGGAGCCAGCCCCGUGGACACCAGACCCGCGGGGGUGGUCUCACCACCAGACCACACAACCCUCUCAGAGACUCAGUUUUGCAAAGGACAGUCACUUACCUGGCUCUCUGGGGGAAAACUCUGCCUAAAGCCUUUAUGGGCUGUUUAUCGGGCUCUUACUAUGUGCCAUGGCCUGUGCUAAGCUCUCACACACAUCACUUCCUUUCAUCCUCUGAACGGUCUUUACAUGUUAGGUAUUUUUAUCACAUUAUCACACACAUGGAAACUGAGCUUCAGGCAGUAGUGGGAAGGAGUUGUGAAUGUUAACAUCUCGCUCAGGCACCAGUGACCCAAAAGCACAAUACAAAUCAACACAGGAAGUGGGGUGGUAAAGCUUCUCAGUGCCGGAGCCAGCACCCACGCACAGCUCCUCUCUCAUUAGGUAACAGGUAGGAGUCCUGCGGGGAGGAAAUGAGCUGCAGGUGCUGGGUAGGCGCAUCAAGGGUGUCUCAAGGUUAUAGGGGCCGAGAGCGUGUCUGGGAACCCCCAGCCCUGAGGCGGGCUGUGGGACCAGGUUUAGAGGGUAGACAGGUGUCUGGGUCAGGUGCUUGCAUGCUGAGUGCUGCUGAGCCUCCACCAGAGGAGCAAUAUGAAACUCAGGGCAGUGGGAUUCAGGCCCUGUCCCAGGAGCACUUCGUCCAGCAGAGAAGGCAGAAGAGACCCACGUACACAAGUCUGCACCCUCAUAUACACAUGUACCUUGAGACCGUUUUCAAAGCAACGUACAUGAAUGUACUGUAUCAGUGGCCCCAGUGAGGGCCGAGUCCAGCAUCGUGGAAGACGCACAGAAGAAGCAUGUACCCCGAGUUCCUUCACCAUCAGUCCCGGGUGUGAAUGUGCCAUGUAAACUGUGGGGUUUUCUAUCGAAAGGCCUGGGCUGGAGGCCUGGCAUUCCUAUUUUCCAACGAGGCUGCGUUUAGACCCCUGCCUAGAUAUUCCAAGACACAUCAAACCCGAAUGCCAAACAGGGUGUCCCUAGGAAAGCGGUUUUCAAACAUUAGGCCUCAGCAUCAUCUGGCAGGCUUGUUAAACAGGAGGCUGCCCCUCACUCAGGGUUUCUGAUUCUGGAGGUCUGGGGGAGGACUUGAUCAUUCAAAUUCCCAACAAGUGACCCAGUGAUGCUGAUGGUGCUGGCCUGGGAACCACACUUUGGGACCCACUGCCCUAGGCUUCCGAGGAUUGGUCUGUGGAGCUGGUGGGCCUGACGUAGCCCAACCCACCCAGCACUGCUCUCAGGGUCUUCACACAAAUGCCGCCAGAGCUGAGGCUUCUCUAGAAUAACUGAUUGCACCUCACACGACAGGCACCACAACCCACAGCUGGUUUCCCCCAAGAACAACAGCUUCCUGGGACCCCACGCUGGCCCUUAGGUCAUGCCCUCCAGAUCCAGCUGGCUCCCAUCUCUGGCCCCUCUCUCCGUCUCCGCCUCUGCGCUAAUUGGUGAAGCUAAAGCUCUGCUGGUUAACCUUCAGCACGCUGUGGUGACCCAGUCACUUUGACGCUUGCCUGUGGUAAAAAAUACAUCUUAUGCCACAACCUCUUUGGCAUGUGCUUAUUCUUUACCUAUGCUUACUAUGUGCGAUACACUUGUAUUUUCUACCCUCCUUCCUUCCUCCCUUCCUCCUUCUGGAUCUCUGCCUCUGUCUCUUUUUUUUUUUUUUGGCCACACCUGAGGCAUAUGGAGGUUCCCAGUUUAGGGGUCGAAUGAGAGCUGCAGCUGCCGGCCUACGCCACAGCCACAGCAAGGCUGGAUCCUUAACCUGCUGAGCGAGGCCAGGGAUUGAACCCACAUACUCAUGGAUAUUAGUUGGAUUCAUUUCUGCUGUGCCACAACAGGAACUCCCCAGCCUCUUUUAUUUAUGAGAAAACCAAGGCUCAGCUGGUUUGUGAAUUGCAUGAGUUUAUCCAGUGAGAAAGCAAGCCCAGCCACUUCUUCUGACUCCGUAACCAGUGCUCUGCCCUCCAAGAUGCAAAGAGGUGAACUGGCCCCCGGUUGGGGCAGUUAGCCUGCUGGCUCUAGAGGAGAUAUGAAGUGGUGAACAGUUCAUCUCCCCCACGUCCAUGCCCCCAGAGGCUCGAGCAAGGAACUGUGGUAGGUGAGGGGGUAGGUGAGGGGCCUGGACUUGGAUGGCUCAGAGUGGGGCAGGCAGGACAGAGCAAUCUUGAAAGGCUGAGGCAGGAAACGGCGGAGCAGGACUAGGAGCCGGCGUUGUCAAAAGCAUCCGCAUCGCACCGUCUCCAUCUCCGUCUCCGGCAGUGAAAGUGAAUUGGGCGCAAGACAGAGAUGAUGGGCCAGCGAAACUCACCACCGCAUUCCCCUCUGUGACUGGGGACCCAGUGAGGCAGGCCCACCUGCCAUAUCAGCACCUUGAUCUCGGAGCUCAUCAGAGAGAGGUUUCCAAAUGACUUGUCUCUGCUGCCCCAGGAAGGAAGCCUUCUGGGCUGCAGCGUGGGGGCUGCUGGGUGUGGGCCAGACACUUGAAAGGGAGUAAAUGAUGACACAGCAGUGGGGGAGAGGGCUGCUGAUACUGUGGUUCCAGCUCUGGAGAGGAGGCCCGCAGAGGCCAAGAUAAAGCAGCCACCUGGCCUUACCCACCAGAGGGGGUCGUUGAAAAAUCCCCAUAAAGGCUCCUGUGAGCAAGAAAACAAGCAUCAGAUACUGGAAAACCACAGCGGCAAGGUCAGUGUCCAUCUCUCCAAAACUGUUCCAGAAAAGAAUUGUGCAACCAUCACCAAAAUCAAUUUUAGAGUGCUUUCAUCACCUCAUCAGAAACCCUCUACCCAUUACCAGCCAUUCUUCAUUUCUACCCAUGAUGGAUUUCUGACCACCAGAUCUGUAAGGUAAGAAAUUGGUAUUGUUUUAAGCCACUAAAUUUGUGGUGAUUUAAGUAUGGCAGCAAUCAAAAAUGAAUAAACAAGUUACAAUGAAUGACAUUUGUAUACUUCUCCUGAGAAAUGUUUAUUCAAGUCUUUGCCCAUUUUUCAACUGGAUUAUUUAUCUUUUUAUUGUUGAGUUGGAAGAGUUCUUUAUAUA